GGUCGACCCUCACAUCAAGAAGGAGGAGAAGUUCCACGU
rnacentral:SRP_RNA from 1 species